GGUUGGUAUCCAUGCAGCGGCGCGUCCGUGAACCCCGUGAGAUUCGGAAGAAAGCAGCGGUAGCGAGAUUGCCCGAGUGCCGUGGAAGUGCUAACCCUU
rnacentral:SRP_RNA from 1 species